rnacentral:rRNA from 1 species
UACAGGGGGGGCAAGCGUUGUUCGGAAUUACUGGGCGUAAAGGGUUCGUAGGCGGCCAACUAAGUCACACGUGAAAUCCCCAGGCUUAACCCGGGAACUGCGUGUGAUACUGGAUGGCUUGAAUCCGGGAGAGGAAUGCGGAAUUCCAGGUGUAGCGGUGAAAUGCGUAGAUAUCUGGAGGAACACCGGUGGCGAAGGCGGCAUUCUGGACCGGCAUUGACGCUGAUGAACGAAAGCCAGGGGAGCAAACGGG